rnacentral:lncRNA from 1 species
AAAGAAGGGGGGGAAGAGGAACAGCUCAGGCUGUGCCAGUCAGUUUUCUGUCACCUGACACAAGCUGGGGUCAUGAGGAAGGACCCUCACUUGAGAAAACGCCUCCAUCAGAUUGGCAUAUAGUCAACUCUGUGCACCAUUUUCUUGAUUAAUGACUUGUAUGGGAGAGCCCAGACUACUGUGAAUGGUGCCAUCCCCGAUUACGUGGUCCUGGAUUGUAUACAAAAGCAGGCUGAGCAAGCCGAGACAAGCAAGCUGGCAGUGUGGGAAGACACAAGACAAUGAGUCAGCAGAACUCUGCUCAGUUCCCGCUCUUACUCCAGGCUGGUCACCCGCUCUUAGGUCAAAGCACAUUAACACGUCAAUCCUGGAAUUCCCAAUGAAGAGGAAGUGGUGUGUGCCUGACCAAGUUCCUGCCAGGCGCAGACACUCACACGUCUACAGACAGAAGCCAAAGGGCUUUUGGUGGCUUCUUACUCUGUUUCUUCCAACAGCUGCCAGAGUGCGGUGAGGACAGGAUUCCUGGCAUCACCAGGCCUGUGUGCCACACAUAGGUUUGCCUCUGAGUUCCAACUGAAUAGAGAACCCACACAUGUUCCCAAGAAAUACACAUCUAGCCGCUUCACCUCUAGCUACAGCUGUAAUGUGUCUUUACUGGAACAAGGUUAAAUGCAUUUUGAAGUAGCUAAGACAAUGUCACCCAAAGCAUUUAGGACACAUUGGGGGAAUAUCGUU